rnacentral:rRNA from 1 species
GAUGAACGCUGGCGGCGUGCCUAAUACAUGCAAGUCGAGCGAACAGACGAGGAUCUUGCUCCUCUGACGUUAGCGGCGGACGGGUGAGUAACACGUGGUUAACCUACCUAUAAGACUGGGAUAACUUCGGGAAACCGGAGCUAAUACCGGAUAAUAUAUUCAACCGCAUGGUUCAAUAGUGAAAGACGGUUUUGCUGUCACUUAUAGAUGGAUCCGCGCCGCAUUAGCUAGUUGGUAAGGUAACGGCUUACCAAGGCAACGAUGCGUAGCCGACCUGAGAAGGUGAAGGGCACCACAGGAACUGAGACACGGUCCAGAGACCUACGGGAGGCAGAGAUAGGGAAUCUUGCGACAUGGGCGAAAGCCUGACGGAGCGACGACGGGUGAGUGAUGAAGGUCUGCGGAUCGUAUAACUCCGUUAUUAGGGAAGAACAAAUGUAUAAGUGACUAUGCACGUCUUGACGGUACCUAAUGAGAAAGCCACGGCUAACUACGUG